AGCAGCCGCGGUAAUUCCAGCUCCAAUAGCGUAUAUUAAAGUUGUUGCAGUUAAAAAGCUCGUAGUUGAAUUUCGGGAUCAAGGAAUCGGUCAUGCCUUGGUAUGUACUGGUUUUAUUGGUUCUCACCUUCUAAAGAACCAUAAUGUCAUUUAUUUGAUGUUAUGGGGAAUUAGGACUGUUACUUUGAAAAAAUUAGAGUGUUUAAAGCAAGCUAACGCUUGAAUACAUUAGCAUGGAAUAAUGAAAUAGGACGUUCGAUCCUAUUUUGUUGGUUUCUAGGAUUGACGUAAUGAUUAAUAGGGAUAGUUGGGGGCAUUAGUAUUCAAUUGUCAGAGGUGAAAUUCUUGGAUUUAUUGAAGACUAACUACUGCGAAAGCAUUUGCCAAGGAU
rnacentral:rRNA from 1 species